GGGAUUGUGGCUCAGAGGUAGAGCGCUCACCUACCAUGUGUGAGUUGCUGGGGUUCGAUCCUCAAUACCA
rfam:Ictidomys tridecemlineatus contig051544, whole genome shotgun sequence.